rnacentral:rRNA from 2 species
GACGAGGGAUCCUAGCGUUGUUCGGAAUCAUUGGGCGUAAAGCGGAUGUAGGUGGCUUUGUAAGUCAGGUGUGAAAGCCCCGGGCUCAACCCGGGAAGUGCAUUUGAUACUGCGAAGCUUGAGUGCUAGAGAGGUUACUAGAAUACCUGGUGUAGUGGUGAAAUACGUAGAUAUCAGGUGGAAUACCGGAGGCGAAGGCGGGUAACCAGCUAGACACUGACACUCAGAUCCGAAAGUGUGGGGAUCAAACAGG